rnacentral:rRNA from 1 species
CCUACGGGUGGCAGCAGUGGGGAAUAUUGGGCAAUGGGCGCAAGCCUGACCCAGCAACGCCGCGUGAAGGAAGAAGGCCUUCGGGUUGUAAACUUCUUUUAUCAGGGACGAAGCAAGUGACGGUACCUGAUGGAUAAGCCACGGCUAACUACGUGCCAGCAGCCGCGGUAAUACGUAGGAGGCAAGCGUUAUCCGGAUUUACUGUGUGUAAAGGGGGUGUAGGCGGGAGUGCAAGUCAGAUGUGAAAACUAUGGGAUCAACCCAUAGCCUGCAUUUGAAACUGUACUUCUUGAGUGCUGGAGAGGCAAUCGGAAGUCCGUGUGUAGCGGGGAAAUGCGUAGAUAUACGGAGGAACACCAGUGGCGAAGGCGGAUUGCUGGACAGUAACUGACGCUGAGGCGCGAAAGCGUGGGGAGCAAACAGGAUUAGAUACCCCAGUAGUC